rnacentral:rRNA from 1 species
AUUGAACGCUGGCGGCAGGCCUAACACAUGCCAGUCGAGCGGAUGAAGGGAGCUUGCUCCUGGAUUCAGCGGCGGACGGGUGAGUAAUGCCUAGGAAUCUGCCUGGUAGUGGGGGAUAACGUCCGGAAACGGGCGCUAAUACCGCAUACGUCCUGAGGGAGAAAGUGGGGGAUCUUCGGACCUCACGCUAUCAGAUGAGCCUAGGUCGGAUUAGCUAGUUGGUGGGUAAAGGCCCACCAAGGCGACGAUCCGUAACUGGUCUGAGAGGAUGAUCAGUCACACUGGAACUGAGACACGGUCCAGACUCCUACGGGAGGCAGCAGUGGGGAAUAUUGGACAAUGGGCGAAAGCCUGAUCCAGCCAUGCCGCGUGUGUGAAGAAGGUCUUCGGAUUGUAAAGCACUUUAAGUUGGGAGGAAGGGCAGUAAGUUAAUACCUUGCUGUUUUGACGUUACCAACAGAAUAAGCACCGGCUAACUUCGUG